CUCCCCCCACCCCACGCACCCUCUCCCGGGCUGGCCGGCUCAGGGCCGCUCGCGCAGUCACGCGCGUACGCGCCUCGCUCUUGCACCCACAGGAUCCGCGGGGGACUCGCCUCUCAGACCCGCUUCGAGCCACCCGGCCGGCCGAGCCUCUAGUCUCCAGGCUGCCCCUCGAGGGCGCAGGCCUGCCAUACCUGGCUCCUCUUCUCAGCGUUUGAGUGACACCGUCUUCUGGGAGGUCUUAGCAUCUGCCUGUUCCUCACAUCUCCAUUCACUCCCCAAGCCACCACAGAUCAAACGCUUUCCCUCUCCAAAUCUGUUUCUCCAUCUGUGAAAUUGGAGUGAUUAUCCUCACCUCACUGAGCUGAUGUGAGAAUUAAGUAAGUAAUGAAUGUAAACACACCUAGAAUAAGGGCUGGCCCACUCACGAGAUCACUUCCUGCCCUUUCUUCUUUCUCCAAGUCUGAGAUGCACCAUCCUACCCUAGCCUUGACUCCUAGGCCAGCUCUCCUAGACACCUGGAUGGCAGCUUUAGCAUGGAGAGCCAGCUGCUUUCUCUUCAAGCCAAAACAACAGUACGUGGUCCAGACCAUUGGCAAGUAAACCUGGGCAUCCUGAAUUUACAGCUCGGACUGCAUCUCUGCAUCUUGCCCUAGGGGAGUCCAUGAAGCAGCUGCUUCUCUUAAUUAAAAAGGAAACUGAGAGAUGAGCCAUGGAGGCUUGCCACUCACAUUCGCCUGGGCACUGCUGUGCAGUGGGAAUGUCCCCAUCCACAGAUGCUAUCCCUCCAAAAAUGUUUUCAACCAGCCAGUGACUCCACAGCGAACCCAAGAGAGGUCUUCCAUUGGCCAAAGCCCUAGAAGCCAACUGACAAAGCAGACUGGGGAAAGCCAGCAGCAGAGGCCACCCUCUCUGCACAUGGAAUCAUGCAAAAUAAAAGGGAAGGCAAGGGAUUGAAGAUCCGAUGAAACGGUGCCAAACACAAAGGACAGUGGGAAAGCCAGCCAUGGGAACCAGUUGGCCUCAGUGGGCUCUGCCUCUGCUUCCCUUCACUCUGGUCAUUAGCUGUGUCUUUCAGCUUUGCUUCGCCAUCAAGGAGCAGAGUGCCUGGCUGAGGGCAUCCUUCCAUUUUCUUGACUCCAUAUUCAGAGAAAACAGCACUUUCCUCCUCCACCAUGACCAGAAAGAAUUCCAGUCGGUCACAAGGCUAUCCGUUGAACCAAAGCUGUUGUUGCAUGAUAAACUCCCAAGAUUUGCCUAACUUGAGUCAUGUUGGUUCAACCUAGUGGCCACCGAGGCUAAAUUUGCUCUGAGAAUCAGGGGGAAAUUGUAGGGGGAAAGGGCAUGAGUACCCUGCCCUCAGAGUGAGUGUAUUAUUCUCCCUGAGAAAUACGUUGGGAGAUUAUGGAAGUGUGGUAGCCAUUAUUUCUGCACAGUGAAUAUUUUCCGGGGUUUCUUCCAGGGACACUUGCUUAUCCCCUUGACAGGAGAGGUGGCCCAUGAACUUUCUUUGACCAGAAAACCCUUCCAGAUGGAAGUUUCACAAGCAACAAUGGGUCAUUUCUCUGUUUGUUUUUGCCAUGUUUCAGACAGGGGGCUAUCCCAUCAGCAUCAGCUCCAGAACGAGAAAGACAUUGUAAAGAGCUUCCUGCCAAUCCCAAGUGGCCAUGUGGUGUAAGCCAAUAAAUAAACCUUUGUACUUUAA